rnacentral:rRNA from 1 species
ACCGGCAGCUCUAGUGGUAGCAGUUUUUAUUGGGCCUAAAGCGUCCGUAGCCGGUUUAAUAAGUCUCUGGUGAAAUCCUGCAGCUUAACUGUGGGAAUUGCUGGAGAUACUAUUAGACUUGAGAUCGGGAGAGGUUAGAGGUACUCCCAGGGUAGAGGUGAAAUUCUGUAAUCCUGGGAGGACCGCCUGUUGCGAAGGCGUCUGACUGGAACGACUCUGACGGUGAGGGACGAAAGCUAGGGGCGCCAACCG